GUCAUUCAUGACAUUUCUCUUUCUCUAUGUAGGCAUGGAUGCAUUGGAUAUAGAGAAGUGGAAUAUUGUUAGUGAAACAUAUAUCCCAAUGAUAUCUAUCGCCUUGAGCUCCAUUGUUUUGGCGUUGGUGCUGUCCAGGCGAGAAGAUCUCUAUUAGGCAGCAAAUCUCAUGACAGGUGCUGUGUUAGUUGCAUUGGCCUAUGAUAAGAUAUCCUGAAGGAGAACAAGGAGCUGCCUAAAGGGGAUGAGAUCAACAAGUUUCAAUCGAAAGAGGUAUACCCAUCUGUCUGCAGUUUGAUCUUAAGAAACUCGUCCCUUGGCCAUGCUGUGAUGUUUAUGUCUUUCCACUUAUCCAAUUUUAGUUCCAUUUGAAGCGAUGCAUAUUGGAACAUAUUUUUCAGUCCUUCCAGCUAUUACAUGAAUAAAUGACCAAGUAUUAGCAUCAGAAGCAAAGAAUGACAGAAAUUGUCUUAUCAAAAGAUGGUGCAGUGGGACUAAUAACUAACCAUAGCGUUAAGGUCUUUGCGGGGCAUUCCUGGGCCUAGCGAGUCGAGCACCUGGAUACGUUUCACCCUAGUGUUUAUAACUGCUAGGUACCAAUGAAAGUGUUCAAUGUUUACUGGAAUAAAUAUCUGAAAAAAGAGAUUUUUGUUAGUUUAGGUCUCAUCUAUACAAACAUCUGUCCUCGAUUGAAUUCAUCAUAGUAAUAUGUACGGAACGGAGACUCACCAUAUCAUGUUCUAAAUAAGUCGUAGCUCUCUUUAAUACCCAUCUUGGUAUGUCAUCACGUAUAGAGCUAAAUUCCUUUAUCAUCUUAGAGAUGCAUGCAUUCUCUAAGAAAACACUUCCACCUGACCUCAUCUGUAGAUGCUCUUUAGCACUUAUGCAAUGUAUGUAUGAGUCUAUGAUCUAGAAUAUCAAGUGCACACCUUGGUUAUAAGAGAUAUAGGAACAUAUGUUAAAAUAGCAUCGUCUUGUCAUAAAGCUACAUAUACUUACUUCGUCGCCAACAAAUUCUUCGGCGGUUAAAAGACAUAGUAAUUGUUUUUUUUUAGAAAUGAGUCGUUGAUGCUCACUAAAUGUCUUUUAUCGCUUGGUUCAGACAUGAUAUUUUCAAUAACCGACCAAUCAUCGCCGGUGCAGGCGUAAUCUAUCAUGAUGUAAGCAAGAAGAAUUAUUAAUAAUGAAGAAAAUUAGUGAAGCAAAAGCAGGGCAUAGAAGGAUUUGUUCAUGCCUUCUGGAGCCACCACGUAGUCUUGUGCCUUCUUAGGUUUGUUAUGCAUUCGGAUAGGGAUAUGCUUCCCUGUUUGUGCCCCUUUCGUGCGUGAUGUGUGUGCUAAUUCUUCAUCAUCUGAUGCAUCUGUCACUUCGGAGACUUCGGAAUCAGUGGACCGCAUGCUAUCAUUUUUCUCCACUUCUUCUUUGUUAGCUAUUCCAUGCGAUUCUGGCAUCGUCUCCCCUAUAGUUUCUGGCCCUUCGGUACCGAAUGUUUGUGCUAAUUCCUCAACCUGAGCUGGCUGCAUUUGUUCACUUGUUUCAUUGAAGGUUAAUUCCUAAGAGAAACAUUACAAGAUAUAAUAUAGUUAGAAUUAGAACUAUUUGGGACAUAUUUGAAAAAAUGUAUAUGCCUGUUUCACCUUGGAUUCAGUGAACCACGAGAUCUUUUUUUUCUGCACUUCAUCUUUGUCGGCUAUUCCAUUUGAUUCUGCCAGCUUGUCCCCUAUAGUUUCUCCCCCUUCGGUGUUGAAUCUUUGUGCUAAUUCAUCGUCUUGAGUUGGCUGCAUUUGUUCACUUGUUUCCUUGAAGGUUAAUUCCUGAGAGGAACAUUACAAAGAAUAAUUUGUAUGGAGGAUAUAAAAUAAUUAGAAUUAGAACUAUUUGGGAUAGUCGAAAAGAAAGCAUGCCUUUGUCACUUCGCAAUCAGUAGCUUGUGUGCUAUUUUCUUUCUCUUCUCCAUCUUUGUUGUCUAUUCCAUUUGAUUCUUCCUCGGUUACUAUCUGAAACACACAAUAUACAAUAUUAUCCAGUACUUAUAAAGCAGAAAAUAUUAUUAAGGUCAGUAAAGAAUUGUAGGCAUGAUAUUAUUAUACUACAAAUUACAUAUUGUUUUGUCCCACCAGAAUAAAAGUAAUAAUGACAUGUGAAAAUAAAAACCGUCUUUGUCGACUUAGAGUAUCACCUCAUCAAUCUCCAUAUUUUCUGUAUCAUCCUUGAUGGUUUGUUCUUCUAUUGCCUUUGUUGACUCGGUGUUCAUAUCCUCAUCUUUGAUUAUCAUGCCUUCAAUCUGAAUAUUUUGUGUAUGAUCGUCCUUGGCUCCCUUGUCGAUGAGUUCCUGAAAACCCAAGCAUAUAUAAGUCGUAUGCUGCUGGUGGUAUGAUAUUCUGUUAAAUACAUAUAUAUCACGCACCUACAAAUUCUAUGGAUCUGCGGAUGUUUUGAUUACACAAUGGCAUUGUUUACCGAACUGAAGUUGUGUCAUAUUCAGAGGGUUAGUGUAGUCCCGAUAUGAGUGGCACCUCAUGGUCAGGCAAGUUUAAUUGUGUUCUGGCAAAAUUCUGUUUUAUGUUCAAUGGCUACUUGGGCUGAAUCGGUGAAUCAAUUGAUGGCAGAGCUCAUGUGGUAAAUAAGCACUCUUAUUUGUGUGUGGAAAACAGUUUCUGAUCUGCUCUUACCAUUAGACCCUAUGUUUUGUACAUCACAACUGGAUGCAGAUAUGUGUACACGUUUACUUAACAUAGUGCUACAAGAAUAUUGUUUUCACCUAAAUUAUAAUGAUCUAUUUCUUUGUUCAAUUAUGCAGUCAACCUAUUCAGAUUCACUUGCGUGACUAAUCAUCUGGAUGUUGUAAUAAUAAGAAUUUCCUAAGUCGCACAGAGCAUGUUGGUAAUUUUGUAGGGUCACACAGAUCAUGUUGUUUUACUUAGUUGGAUCCCCUCUGGUGAGUUUGUUGUUUCGCAGAUGCGAAAGCAUGAAUAGGAUGAAAUUGCAGAGAGAUACCAUUACCAUGAUUAUUGUAGAUUGAUCCGUACAGGCCACCGGGGAUUGUGGCGCAGACAUGGACGACGAUGGUAGGUCACCACCGACAGAUGUGUGCGGCAAGGUGGAGGCCUUCGCGGCGGAGGAGACCUUUGCUGGGGAACAGUGUGAGGAUGCGGCAGCGGUUCAGGGGAGGUUGAAGGGAAACCCUACGGUGCUUCUUUGGGUUCCUGAUCGAGAGUUCGUUAGGUAUAGGCAAUAUACAAGGCGGAAGUCACGGGAAGGACUUCCAUAGCGUGAGGAGGAAAGUGAAUCGUGAUUGCUAUGUCAGGCCCCACACUUUCCUUUGAUUUAUCUCUGGCCCCAUGCUUUCCUUUGUUUUAUCUCAGGCCCCACAUUGUUUUUGCUUUUAUUUAUACCCAAUCUGGAUAAAUUAAUUGAGUUAUUUUUGUAAUACAUUUUAUACAGGAAUAUCGAGUUAAGCUCAUUG